rnacentral:rRNA from 1 species
GACGAACGCUGGCGGCGUGCUUAACACAUGCAAGUCGAACGGAAAGGCCCUGCUUGCAGGGUACUCGAGUGGCGAACGGGUGAGUAACACGUGGGUGAUCUGCCCUGCACUUCGGGAUAAGCUUGGGAAACUGGGUCUAAUACCGGAUAGGACCGCACUUUAGUGUGUGUGGUGGAAAGUUUUUUCGGUGUAGGAUGAGCUCGCGGCCUAUCAGCUUGUUGGUGGGGUAAUGGCCUACCAAGGCGGCGACGGGUAGCCGGCCUGAGAGGGUGUACGGCCACAUUGGGACUGAGAUACGGCCCAGACGCCGACGGGAGGCAGCAGUGGGGAAUAUUGCACAAUGGGCGCAAGCCUGAUGCAGCGACGCCGCGUGGGGGAUGAAGGCCUUCGGGUUGUAAACUCCUUUCGCUAGGGACGAAGCUUUUUGUGACGGUACCUAGAUAAGAAGCACCGGCUAACUACGUG